rnacentral:rRNA from 1 species
UGGGGAAUAUUGCACAAUGGGGGAACCCCUGAUGCAGCGACGCCGCGUGAGUGAAGAAGUAUUGCGGUAUGUAAAGCUCUAUCAGCAGGGAAGAAAAAAGACGGUACCUGACUAAGAAGCCCCGGCUAACUACGUGCCAGCAGCCGCGGUAAUACGUAGGGGGCAAGCGUUAUCCGGAUUUACUGGGUGUAAAGGGAGCGUAGACGGCGCGGCAAGUCUGAAGUGAAAGGCAGGGGCUUAACCCCUGAACUGCUUUGGAAACUGCCAUGCUAGAGUGCUGGAGAGGUAAGUGGAAUUCCUAGUGUAGCGGUGAAAUGCGUAGAUAUUAGGAGGAACACCAGUGGCGAAGGCGGCUUACUGGACUGUAAAUGACGCUGAGGCUCGAAAGCGUGGGGAGCAAACAGG